rnacentral:lncRNA from 1 species
CUUCUGAUAUCUCCUCCUCCGUCUCCUCCACCUUGCUCCUCCACCCAUUAGUCAGCGUCGCCGCCGUUGACGCCCCAUUACCACCGCCUCCUAAACCUGGAAAAUUUGAUCCUCAGCCUCUUAUGUUGCAUUGCAAGCAGUUGAGACAAGGCAUGGAAUCUAUCUUAAGAAGCUGCAGAUCAGUGAAAAACAAGUUUGCAAUUUCAGUUGUUUGUGCCAUAGUUGAUGCCAUGAUGUUGUCACAUAUUGAAGAUAUAUUCACCACAUUUCAGGUACCUAGUGAUUUAGAAAGGGUUUCAACAUUUCCUUUUUAGAGAGAAUAUAUAACAACUUUCUAAAUUUAAAAAUAAUAAUUAGUCAGCAAUUACGUGAAAUUCUGUGUAUAUAUAUAUCAUUAUCACCGCAGGUACCUAUUGUGGGUUUCUUCCCUUGUGGCGCAGCUUGCCUUGCCAUGGAUUAUGCUGCUUGGAAAACUGAUGUAGAAUACAUCAAUCCGGGUGAAACACGG